ACGUACACUCCUGCGGGAGGCAGCAGUGAGGAAUAUUGGACAAUGGGUGGAAGCCUGAUCCAGCCAUCCCGCGUGCAGGAAGACGGCCCUAUGGGUUGUAAACUGCUUUUAUCUGGGGAUAAACCUACUUACGUGUAAGUAGCUGAAGGUACCAGAAGAAUAAGCACCGGCUAACUCCGUGCCAGCAGCCGCGGUAAUACGGAGGGUGCAAGCGUUAUCCGGAUUUAUUGGGUUUAAAGGGUCCGUAGGCGGACUGAUAAGUCAGUGGUGAAAUCCGACAGCUUAACUGUCGAACUGCCAUUGAUACUGUUAGUCCUGAGUAAGGUUGAAGUGGCUGGAAUAAGUAGUGUAGCGGUGAAAUGCAUAGAUAUUACUUAGAACACCAAUUGCGAAGGCAGGUCACUAAGUCUUAACUGACGCUGAUGGACGAAAGCGUGGGGAGCGAACAGGAUUAGAAACCCUUGUAGUCCCAUGA
rnacentral:rRNA from 1 species